AAAGAUUCUGAAUUCCAGUGUUCCAAUGGGACCUGUAAUAAGAAAUCCUGAUGGGUGUGGGAAGGAAUAACUGUCUUUUGACCAUCACUAUUUCUAAUAAGUCUUGCAAAAUACGAACCUCCCUCAUCCCUAUCACGGAUGGAUAGUAUAGAGCUCAUUACAUACAGGUUUCUAAUUAGGAGUAAUUUAAAGUGGCAAUAUUUCAUGUCGUAAUUCAGGAAUUAGCUGUAUGAGUAAACUUAGCUCAUACCCUGUUAAUUUGGCAGGCACAUAUGGGCUGAUGAAGAAGCCAUCACUCCUGAUAUGGGAAGAAGAGGAACCAGACAUAUGCAGGCUACCUGAGAGAAAAACCCCUCGUAAAUGGAAGAUGGUUUUCAGGGUUCCAGCCCUCUGCAUCACAGCCCUCUUUUGCCCACUGAACUGUGCCCUGACUUUCCUGAAGAAGAGAGUUCUGCAGCCCUUUAAGCUCCUGAAGUCCAAAAACUGAGGAAAGGAAUCCCAUGGAGCAACACGUUAAUAUUCUAAGGUCACAAAAAGAAGAUGCUACAGGAAGGAGCACAGCUGGGAUCAAAAAUGAGGGAGAACAUGAAUAGUGACUUCAGUCACAAGACAAUGAAAAACUGCAGAUGAAGACAGAAAGCAACUUCUGAACUGUGAGACAGGUCUCUAACUCACUUUGAAGUCUAAUGUGUAAGCAAGAGGACACUGAUGUUUGGGGUUAUAUGUUACAUACUGGGAUGUACAUAAUGUACAUACUGGGAUACACACACACACACAGAAAGAAGAAAAAAAUGAAGGAAUAAUUUCUCUGAGAAGAAAAAAGCAAGGGCUUAGCUUUCUUAAUCUGAAGCCACAACUCAGAACUACCUGACUGAUGAUAAGAGAUGCCAUCCACCCAGGAGCUGGAUCCAGAGAGAAAAAGGAAAACUUUCAGAACAGCUUCUAUAAGGUAUUAAAUCAGCUUGAUAUCCAGCCAGAUUGGAAACAAAUGUUUUAAUUCCAGAAUGUCAUAGCACUGGGAGAGAAACAUGCUGAAGAAGAAAAUUUCUGAAUGAACACCUUGUUUUUAGUUUUAGUUUAUAUAUCUAUAUUUUUUAGUUUAUAUAUUAUUUUAGUUUAUAUAUUAGACAAGCAACUUGUUAUACUAAUAACACCAAUACCACUUCUGCAGAAUAUUCCAAGAAAGGUGUCCUUUAGACAGAACCCAGUUUGAACCAGGGCUCUCAACUCAGUGUGUCAUUCCAUUCUGUGCAUGCUACCUUGUGCAAUUUCAGCUGAUAGACAUCAUUUUCUCUCCCAAACUAACACAGAGGACUUGUGUGGGCCACCACCUGCCUACUGCUUUUCCCCCUCAAAGUGAUCUUUACUCAAAGGCCAACAUCUACCUGUGCACAGCAGUCUCCGCUGUCUGAACAUAGAGACAUUGUAUGAACAAAGCUCCCAAAGACUCCACUGGAAAUUUUGCUUGCCCAAGGAAGUGAGGAUGGUCCAUGUUUGUUUAUAAAGUUUCCCAGUCCACUGAGAUGCAGAGAGCUACUGCAUACAGGCAUGGAAUUGUGACUGAGAGGAAAUACCAUCAAGAGAUAAGCUAUAAUAUAACUGCACUUAAAAGUGUGUUUAGAACAAAUUUGCUAUAUCCAACUAACACUGAAUUUACAGACUGAGAUUCCUGAAGCUGAUUAAGGGAUCUGAGUGCCUGGUUGCUUUUAAUUUGAGUGGUAAUGAGAGAUUUGAAUUCCUUUAACCAAACAGAAUGUUUUAGCACUAAUGCAUGUAUUAAUUGUGAAUCUAUGACUGAUGCUCCUUCUUCCUUGAUGUUUGUAUUCCUACCAAAAAAAAAAAAAAAACAACCAACACUAAGACAGCAUUCCCAGGUUGAAUACUUGUCAACAUUGGCAUUCUCUCACUAGCACUCUCUCUCCAUUUUUUUCAGGCCCUUUUCUCAAGCUGUUCCUUCUUGAGCAGAGGUUAGCCACACAGCUAGCUCCAAUGAAGGCAGAGCCCAGCAUGCAAGUGCUACUCACCU